GAGGAUUUGGUCACGAUCAAUAGACUACUGAGUGAAGAAAGAAAAAAACUGCUAAUACAAAAACGAUGAAACGGAAAUCGAGCGACUGCGGAAUGGAAUUCAAGAGAAGAAUCUGAUUGUCAAAAAGGGGAGGAGUUUAACACUCGAGUCUGAGGUGGAGGAGACCAACAGCAAGAACAAGGAAGAAGCCGGUCGUGACCUGAAGCAAAAGAUGCUGAAAGACAGUCAUAAAACUCCACAAAUCCUACAUUCAUGAAGCAAAUGGCUCUACUUCCUUACAUGUGGAAUAAGGACUAAACUGAGCAUGUGUGAAGUGAAUCAGGUCAUUAUUAAUCUGACUGUCAACAAGUGAGGACCUCACCCAUCUCUUUUUAAAUCCUCCUUUGCUUUUUACUAUGGUGAUUUGUAACUUGUUCCUGAUUGGAGAAAUUGGAAGUGUUACAACCGGCCGGUGUUACAACCAUCCUCGGUCUCCCCUACCUGACUGAGUGUGAUGACUGUGCUAGGUAAGAGUCGGAGUGAAGGUUGAAGUCGUGC
ensembl:lncRNA